AAAGAUCGAACGGGGAGAUUCAUCGUUUGCGAGGCAGGCCUCGCGACGGCAAGCGAUGCUCGUAAUUUUUUUACGGGCACACUUUCGUUGCGUUGCGUCUUGUUACGCCGACGUGCACUUCUCCCCUGGUAGAACGUCGCGACCCGUUGGGUGUCGGUCUACGGCCCGAGUGUCUGCCUGUCGCGCGUCAUUUAUUGUCACGCGGUAGAACCUCGGUCGCCCGGCCGGCUGCCCGGCGGUACUCGCAAGGUAUAGGGCCGCAAUUGUACUGCGUUCAGGCCCGUCGCAAGCGCGGUCAGUGAUCCCGGAGUGCGGACUAUGGUGCCGUCCCCGGGCCUGGCCAGCUGUUGGCAGACGGUGUCCUCGAACUGGCCAAGCGCCGUUAAAAGCGCACGAGAUACCGGUCGGCGACGCUACUGCUUUGGGUACUCUCAGGACCCGUCUUGAAACACGGACCAAGGAGUCUAACAUGUGCGCGAGUCAUUGGGACUGAAAAGCCUAAAGGCGCAAUGAAAGUGAAGGUCGGCCUCGCGCCGAUCGAAGGAGGAUGGGCCGCGUCACGAUGCGGCUCCGCACUCCCGGGGCGUCUCGUUCUCACU
rnacentral:rRNA from 1 species